rnacentral:misc_RNA from 1 species
UCUCCGUUGGUGAACCAGCGGAGGGAUCAUUACAGAGUUGCAAAACUCCCAAACCAUUGUGAACGUUACCUAUCCCGUUGCUUCGGCGGGCGGCCCGGGCCCCGCGCCCGGCGCCCCCCGGCCCCCCGUGGGCGCCCGCCGGAGGUAAACCAAACCCUUGAAUUGCAUGGCCUCACUGAGUCUUCUGUACUGAAUAAGUCAAAACUUUCAACAACGGAUCUCUUGGUCCUG